AUUGAACGCUGGCGGCAGGCCUAACACAUGCAAGUCGAACGAGUGGCGGACGGGUGAGUAAUGUCUGGGAAACUGCCUGAUGGAGGGGGAUAACUACUGGAAACGGUAGCUAAUACCGCAUACCAUCGGAUGUGCCCAUAUGGGCUUAGCUAGUAGGUGGGGUAAAGGUUCACCUAGGCGACGAUCCCUAGCUGGUCUGAGAGGAUGACCAGCCACACUGGAACUGAGACACGGUCCAGACUCCUACGGGAGGCAGCAGUGGGUAAUAUUGCACAAUGGGCGCAAGCCUGAUGGAGCCAUGCCGCGUGUAUGAAGAAGGCCGUCGGGUUGUAAAGUACUUUCAGCGAGGAGGCGUUACCCGCAGAAGAAGCACCGGCUAACUCAGUGCCAGCAGCCGCGGUAAUAC
rnacentral:rRNA from 1 species